rnacentral:rRNA from 4 species
UGAGAGUUCAAGAGGGCGUGAAACCGCUUAGAAGCAAACAGAUGGAGCUGAUGAAAAGUCGGUGGGCUUCAGUGCCUGGUGCUGCCCAGUGUCAGCGGUGGAUUUCACACCGCCUGCUGAUUACGUGAGGGAUUGGCCCAGGCGUGCAUUUCCGCCGAUGCGCGCUGGAAGCUGUGCUAGCGCCGGAACAAGGCCGGCGAAUGUAAGCCAAUCUUGUUGGUCUCUCGUUGCUGGCGAAAGCCGGGUCGCUGGUACAGUAUUGCGACACCCGCCUCUACUCUGUUCCGCUGGGGAUCCUGGCCGGGUAUUGCUGUCUCUUGCGUGCAAGGUUCAGCUGCUUCGGCCGGGUAAGCGGCGGCGUUCAGAGUCGGUGUCAUUCUGGUGUCUCUGUCAGCCACCCAUCUGACCCGUCUUGAAACACGGACCAAGGAGUCUAACAUGUGCGCGAGUCAUUGAGUGGUGAAACUCAGCGGCGCAAUGAAAGUGAAGUCUAGUUCGGCUGGAUGACAUGGGAUCCGGUUUGCCUCGGCGGCCGGAGCACCAUGGUCCCGUUCGGUCUGCUUUGUCAGACGGGCGGAGAUUGAGCGUACAUGCUGGGACCCGAAAGAUGGUGAACUAUGCCUGAGCAGGAUGAGGCCAGAGGAAACUCUGGUGGAGGUCCAUAGCGAUUCUGACGUGCA